AAGAGUAAAAUAGGUAGAGUAAUACUCGAGUUUUACUCCCACGCGAUCUGUGCCGCUCGUCUCUCCUCUCUAUCUCGCCGCCUUCCACCACUGACCACCGGCCUCCUACGUUCGAGCCCUAGACGCAGCACCUUCGAGCCCUUGAACUUCGCAAGACGCGGCAGUAGGCAGCAGUACUUCGAGUCUACAUUUCCACCAAUGAUUUGACGGCAGAAGAAGAAGAAGAAGGUCUCAUUGAUACUCAAGGGUGCCAAUGAUUUCAUGCUCGACGAGAUAGACAGGGCUUUGCACGAUGCUAUAUCCAUUGUCAAAAGAACUCUGGAAUCUAAUACGGUAGUUGCUGGUGGAGGUGCUGCUGAAGCUGCCUUAUCUGUCUAUCUGGAAAACCUAGCCACUACUCUUGGAUCUAGGGAGCAGCUAGUUCCACAGCUCUUUCAGUCUUCCGAUUGGUAAAUUUCAUCCUAGCAUUCCAUACUUUCUGCUUGAUUUCUGCGUCUUUAUCCUUGAUUUAAAAUGGCUUAUGUAACUUACCAAGACAUUCUACUUGUGGAACUUCUUUACCAUAUUCCAAAAGUAAAAAAAGGCCAAUACGCCACCAAGGACAGAAGUGUGUAAAGGAUAUGCUAAUAUAUAAAUUUUAAUAAGCGCCUUAAUCUAUGUUUAAUUUGACUUCAAAGCCAUCUGCUGAUGAAGAUUAGAUUAUGGAAAAGGACAGAAUAAAAGAUAAAAGACUUCAUGUUCAAUCUGGGCUUUGGAGCGUUUGAUGAUAGGUCAGGCAAGCUUUAGUUCAAGUCGUAUUUUGUUUAUGAUGUGCUUAUUUAAGGAUUUUUUUUUUUUUUU